AACGAACGCUGGCGGCAUGCCUAACACAUGCAAGUCGAACGAGACCUUCGGGUCUAGUGUCGCACGGGUGCGUAACGCGUGGGAACCUGCCCUUAGGUUCGGAAUAACUCCCCGAAAGGGGUGCUAAUACCGGAUAAUGUCUUCGGACCAAAGAUUUAUCGCCUUUGGAUGGGCCCGCGUUGGAUUAGCUAGUUGGUAGGGUAAAAGCCUACCAAGGCGACGAUACAUAGCUGGCCUGAGAGGAUGAUCAGCCACACUGGGACUGAGACACGGCCCAGACUCCUACGGGAGGCAGCAGUGGGGAAUAUUGGACAAUGGGCGAAAGCCUGAUCCAGCAAUGCCGCGUGAGUGAUGAAGGCCUUAGGGUUGUAAAGCUCUUUUACCCGGGAUGAUAAUGACAGUACCGGGAGAAUAAGCUCCGGCUAACUCCGUG
rnacentral:rRNA from 1 species